UACAGAGGUCUCAAGCGUUGUUCGGAAUCACUGGGCGUAAAGCGCACGUAGGCGGCUUAUUAAGUCAGGGGUGAAAUCCUGGAGCUCAACUCCAGAACUGCCUUUGAUACUGAUGAGCUUGAGUCCGGGAGAGGUGAGUGGAACUGCGAGUGUAGAGGUGAAAUUCGUAGAUAUUCGCAAGAACACCAGUGGCGAAGGCGGCUCACUGGCCCGGUACUGACGCUGAGGUGCGAAAGCGUGGGGAGCAAACAGG
rnacentral:rRNA from 1 species